UUAAUUAAAGUUUAGUAUGCUGCCCAACAGUGUAAGAUUGACAUAAAAAUAUAAGAGUAUAUUGAUUGGUGUCAUAUCUAUUUGAUGACUUAUUCUUCAUCAUGUCAUAUCUAAAGUAUAUUGAUUGGUGUCAUAUUUUGUUUAUUAAAUACAUUAUUGAAUGUUCUGUAAUAAAACUCUUCUAAAAGUCCAUAUUGAAAGUUAUGGUUUUUUAUUUUUUGAAAUAAUAUUUUAUUCUAUAAAAAUAGUUUAUCAAUGCAUUUAUUAUGACUUUUUGAAGUUUAUGAAUUUAUAAAUACAUUUGUUAUGACUAAUAAGGUUUAUGAUUAAUAAGGAUCUAGUACACUCUGAGGCAAUUCGAAUUUAACAAUGAGAUACGCGAAGAAGAAGUGGCGUUUGAUAUACUAAGUUACACGUUUUACAUCAUAUCUCAGUCAGAGACUUAGCAUGAGAUAGAAAGACCGCUUCAUUCGAGUUCUAAUUAUAGCUUGCCAAUAUGCAAAGUUAUUAGCCAACUACAAGGCAAUCAUAAAAAAGAUGGAGACCAAAGGGUUUACGUACUUCAAAAAUAAAUAUUUAAGAUAAAUGAGCAAAAACAAUUAUGCCUAAUAAAUGUAAACUGCGAUUGUAUUUUUUAUUUAAAGUAAUGAAUAAAAAAAAAAGAAAAUUUGAUGCA